rnacentral:rRNA from 1 species
UUUUCCGAGCGGUGUUACAAUGCAGUCGACGAGAGUUUUUACUCUAGUGGCGAACGGGUGCGUAAUACGUGAGAAUCUGCCCUUAGGAGGGGAAUAACUGUUGGAAACGAUAGCUAAAUCCCCAUAUGCCGAGAGGUGAAAUAGUCCUUAACUGCCUAAGGAUGAGCUCGCGCCUGAUUAGCUUGUUGGUGAGGUAAUGGCUCACCAAGGCCACGAUCAGUAGCUGGUUUGAGAGAACGAUCAGCCACACUGGGACUGAGACACGGCCCAGACUCCUCCGGGAGGCAGCAGUGAGGAAUUUUCCGCAAUGGGCGAAAGCCUGACGGAGCAAUACCGCGCGAGGGACGAAGGAUUUUGGUCUGUAAACCUCUUUUCUCAAGAAAGAAGCUCUGACGGUACUUGAGGAAUAAGCAUCGGCUAACUCCGUGCCAGCAGCCGCGGUAAUACGGGGGAUGCAAGCGUUAUCCGGAAUCAUUGGGCGUAAAGCGCCUGUAGGUUGUCUAAUAAGUCUGUUGUUAAAGACUAGGGCUUAACCCUAGGAAAGCAAUGGAAACUGCUAGGCUUGAGUAUGGUAGGGGUAGAGGGAAUUUCUAGUGUAGCGGUGAAAUGCGUAGAUAUUAGAAAGAACACCAGUGGCGAAAGCGCUCUACUGGGCCAUUACUGACACUGAGAGGCGAAAGCUAGGGGAGCGAAAGGGAUUAGAUACCCCUGUAGUCCUAGCCGUAAACGAUGGAUACUAGGUGUUGUGUUUAUAUACAGUAUCGUAGCUAACGCGUUAAGUAUCCCGCCUGGGGAGUACGCUCGCAAGGGUGAAACUCAAAGGAAUUGACGGGGGCCCGCACAAGCGGUGGA